GGGCUCUUAGCUCAGCUUGGUUAGAGCGCUACCUUGACAUGGUAGAGGUCAUAGGUUCGAGUCCUAUAGGGCCCACGA
rnacentral:tRNA from 1 species